rnacentral:rRNA from 1 species
GACGAACGCUGGCGGCGUGCCUAAUACAUGCAAGUCGAACGCAGUGGGGACGGGUGAGUAACACGUGGGUAACCUCCCAUCAGAGGGGAUAACACUUGGAAAAAGGUGCUAAACCGAUACUGAUGGAUGGACCCGCGGUGCAUUAGCUAGUUGGGGAGGUAACGGCUCACCAAGGCCACGAGACAUAGCCGACCUGAGAGGGUGAUCGGCCACCCUGGGACUGAGAAACGGCCCAGACUCCUACGGGAGGCAGCAGUAGGGAAUCUUCCGCAAUGGACGAAAGUCUGACGGAGCAACGACGCGUGAGUGAAGAAGGUUUUCGGAUCGUAAAACACUGUUGGUGGAGAAGCGGUAUCUAACCAGAAAGCCACGGCUAACUACGUGCCAGCAGCCGCGGUAAUUC